AAAGAAGAGUUGAACUCUUUG
rnacentral:snRNA from 1 species